rnacentral:tRNA from 1 species
GGGCCUGUAGCUCAGCCUGGUUAGAGCGCCGGUCUUAUAAGCCGGCGGUCCGGGGUUCAACUCCCCGCAGGCCCA